rnacentral:rRNA from 1 species
CGGGUGAGUAACACGUGAGCAAUCUGCCCUAUACAACGGGAUAACACAGAGAAAUUUGUGCUAAUACGGUAUAAGACCACAGUAUCGCAUGAUACAGGGGUAAAAGAUUUAUCGGUAUAGGAUGGGCUCGCGACCCAUUAGCUAGUUGGUGAGGUAACGGCCCACCAAGGCAACGAUGGGUAGCCGACCUGAGAGGGUGAUCGGCCACACUGGGACUGAGACACGGCCCAGACUCCUACGGGAGGCAGCAG